AAUUCCUUUAAGGCAGAACUUCCAAACACAAAACAGGGAAGCGUUUAAGCCUCAAGCAUCCAUUAGCGUUGUUUUUGUUCUCCAACAACUCAGCUUUCCCCCUUCAACUUCUUCUCUUCCAUUUUUCUCUUACUUUCUCUUUCUUCCAUCCCACCCCUUCAAUUUCUUCCCUAUUCUUCCCACAAUCCCAUACUCCCACACACAUAUAGAUAUGAGCAGAAAUUUGAGUCCCAGACCGUCGGAUUUCCUCUCCUUUUCCGCUUCUCUUUCCCUGCUUUUCGUCUCCGCUAUCUCUUAACACUUCUUUUGGUUGGCUACUACAGCCCUUUCUGAUGAUUCCAGUAAAAAAGAUAGUAUUAACUCUGGGAAUCAUCCAUCCUCCAGAAGCAACACUGGUUCAAUGGUUGCCAUCAUCCUCCUUGGAAUUUUGGUAGCUGUGUUAUUAUCAUUUUUCCUUUUCAAGUUAUGGCAAAAGAAGAGAAGAGAAGAGCAAUAUGCCCGACUUCUUAAAUUAUUUGAAGAAGAUGAUGAACUUGAGGUUGAACUUGGUCUUCGGGAUUGAGAAUAUCUGAAAUUCUAGUUCACUUAAGUUUGGCUCAGAAACCAUUGUGUUGGAGAAUUAUUGCAUUUCAAAUGUCUAAAAGGUGGUGAGAUGAUAGAGUGAGUAUGUUGUAAGGUUAGAUUUUUGUUUUUGUUUUUUUAAAAAGAUUGGGGGUGGGGCAUAACCUUGUAAUUCCCAUAUCAUAAUGGAUCAUUUUGUAAGGAGUGCUUGAAGGAUACGAGUCCAGGUUUUGUAAAAUUGAUGUCAUAUAGCAAGUUUAAUGGUGAAAGCCGAAAGGGUUUGACUAAAGCCCCAAUAUUUAAAUAUGUUCGGAAUUUUUUAAA